GCUCCCCCACAAUUACUGCAGAGUUAGAAGUGGAAUUUCCGAUUGAUGUUUUAUGUCAGAGUCAGUAUGAAAGACUGCAGCAUGCUGAGUGAGCUUUCCGUUCUCGUUCUCGCUGAGGAUGGGAUGCAGGGUCCAUCCCCUGCAGGCCACAAUUUUGCCCGGAGGCAAAGCAUUCAGACUUUCCAUUGGCCUGACAAUUUGAGCUAAGCUCGAGGCCAAUUGACAAAAUGCACCAGCAACUACCAAGUGCCUGCCUGGUGGCCUUCACUGUGAGAAGAGGUAUUCUUCCUGCUCCACUGACAUCAGGCUUAGCCAUGUUUCUGGAUUUGGUCAAUUUUUUAAUAAAGAGAACAUGGAGCAGAGCUGCAGCUGAUCUUCAAAGGACAUGAACACAAGUUGGAGAGGAGCCGUUUUUGCUGUAAGUCCUGAAGAUUUGAGGGAUAUUAUUGCAACACAACUCAGCCCAAACUGACUAACACAACAAGUUUCUAUGUAUGCAUGGAAAUGUAUGUAAUCUUAGCCUC